rnacentral:rRNA from 1 species
UACGGAGGGUGCAAGCAUUAAUCGGAUUUAUUGGGCGUAAAGGGCGCGUAGGCGGGAGGGAAAGUUAGAUGUGAAAGCCUGGGGCUUAACCCCAGAACGGCAUCUAAAACUUCCUUUCUAGAGGAUGAGCGGGGAAAAUGGAAUUCCACAUGUAGCGGUGAAAUGCGUAGAUAUGUGGAGGAACACCGGUGGCGAAGGCGAUUUUCUAGCUCAUGCCUGACGCUGAGGCGCGAAAGCAAGGGGAGCAAAC